rnacentral:rRNA from 1 species
UUGAACGCUGGCGGCAGGCCUAACACAUGCAAGUCGAGCGGAUGAAGGGAGCUUGCUCCUGGAUUCAGCGGCGGACGGGUGAGUAAUGCCUAGGAAUCUGCCUGGUAGUGGGGGAUAACGUCCGGAAACGGGCGCUAAUACCGCAUACGUCCUGAGGGAGAAAGUGGGGGAUCUUCGGACCUCACGCUAUCAGAUGAGCCUAGGUCGGAUUAGCUAGUUGGUGGGGUAAAGGCCUACCAAGGCGACGAUCCGUAACUGGUCUGAGAGGAUGAUCAGUCACACUGGAACUGAGACACGGUCCAGACUCCUACGGGAGGCAGCAGUGGGGAAUAUUGGACAAUGGGCGAAAGCCUGAUCCAGCCAUGCCGCGUGUGUGAAGAAGGUCUUCGGAUUGUAAAGCACUUUAAGUUUGGAGGAAGGGCAGUAAGUUAAUACCUUGCUGUUUUGACGUUACCAACAGAAUAAGCACCGGCUAACUUCGUG